rnacentral:rRNA from 1 species
GUGUAUGGCCACGCCACCCUGAACAAACCCAAUGUCUGAUCUCGGAAGCUAAGAAGGGUCGCCCCUGGUUAGUACUUCGAUGGGAGACCACGUAGGAAGACUAGGUGCUGUGGGCA